AGCAACAACUUCUCUGCGAAGUCAUUAUACUUCAACAAAAUACCCAUUCCCUUCCACUUACCAUUUCUCUUUCAAUUUACUCUGUUGUUCCUACAUAUCAAGGAACUAAGUGCGGAGCUACACCCACAGAAGUUCAGCUAUACCACACGGUUCAGACUCCACAAACUCAGCUGAAAGCUCUAAAGACUUCAUCUACAAAUCACUCUGCCCAUUUUACCUCCAUUCACGGGUUUGAGCAUCAGGAGGAUUAGCACUGCUAUUCCGAUUCAGAGAUAAGGUUAAACGACAGGCUUUGCCUGGACAGGUUAAUGGCGGGUGAUGACGGGGCGGAGCUGAGGCUAGAGUUCAACUCCUUAUUUUGAUUUCCGCUGCAGAACUAGCCAGUAUCUGUCUUUUGUUCCUUAACUUAAGACCUACUAUGUUGUGAUUCUAAACAAUAUCUUUUGUUGAGCCUAUACUAUUGACUCUCAAGUAUUUCGAUCAGUGAAUGUUGGUUAUCUGAAGCAUGACACUAAACUUGUGAUCCUGAAGUUAUUAUGUUUGUUGAUUGAUUCGUAUCACUUGAAUAC